rnacentral:rRNA from 1 species
CAGUCACGACGCAUAUCAAUAAGCGGAGGAAAAGAAACCAACAGGGAUUGCCCCAGUAACGGCGAGUGAAGCGGCAACAGCUCAAAUUUGAAAUCUGGCCCCUCCGGGUCCGAGUUGUAAUUUGUAGAGGAUGCUUUUGGUGAGGUGCCGCCCGAGUUCCCUGGAACGGGACGCCACAGAGGGUGAGAGCCCCGUCUGGCUGGCCACCGAGCCUCUGUAAAGCUCCUUCGACGAGUCGAGUAGUUUGGGAAUGCUGCUCAAAAUGGGAGGUAUAUGUCUUCUAAAGCUAAAUAUUGGCCAGAGACCGAUAGCGCACAAGUAGAGUGAUCGAAAGAUGAAAAGCACCUUGAAAAGAGGGUUAAACAGUACGUGAAAUUGUUGAAAGGGAAGCGCUUGUGACCAGACUUGGGCGCGGCGGAUCAUCCGGGGUUCUCUCCGGUGCACUUCGCCGCGUUCAGGCCAGCAUCAGUUCGUCGCGGGGGAAAAAGGCUUCGGGAACGUGGCUCCUCCGGGAGUGUUAUAGCCCGUUGCAUAAUACCCUGCGGUGGACUGAGGACCGCGCAUCUGCAAGGAUGCUGGCGUAAGGUC